GGAUGCGAUCAUACAAGCACUAAAGCACCGGAUCCCAUCAGAACUCCAAAGUUAAGCGUGCUUGGGCGAGAGUAGUACUAUGAUGGGUGACCUCCUGGGAAGUCCUCGUGUUGCAUUCC
rnacentral:rRNA from 2 species